UGCGACAGUUACUUCAUAGAAUCAUUUCUAUAGUAAACGUCCUCUUCUGAGCUCUUCUCACGAGCCACAGAAUCCUCACCCUGGUGGAUGAUUCAUGGUCCUUGGUACCCUAGAGUGAAAAUGUUUUACUCUCGACGCGCACGGUGUUGCUGGCAACAGCGACCUGUGCAAGAGAGUGGUGAUGAUCUUUGACCUGAAUCGAGGUCUGGCUUCGUGCCGCUUGGUGAGGGAGGUAUCAAUGGACUGAAUCUGACAGGU
rnacentral:snoRNA from 1 species